UACAGAGGGGGCAAGCGUUGUUCGGAAUUACUGGGCGUAAAGGGCGCGUAGGCGGCCUGUUAAGUCGAACGUGAAAUCCCCGGGCUCAACCCGGGAACUGCGUCCGAUACUGGCAGGCUUGAAUUCGGGAGAGGGAUGCGGAAUUCCUGGUGUAGCGGUGAAAUGCGUAGAUAUCGAGAGGAACACCUGCGGCGAAGGCGGGUAGCUGGGCCGACACUGACGCUGAGGCGCGAAAGCCAGGGGAGCGAACGGG
rnacentral:rRNA from 1 species